rnacentral:rRNA from 1 species
GAUGAACGCUGACAGAAUGCUUAACACAUGCAAGUCGAUGGGGAAGUGGUGCUUGCACCAUGGUAACCAUGGCGGACGGGUGAGUAACACGUAAGGAACUUACCUGCGGGACCGGGAUAACAGCAGGAAACUGCUGACAAGACCGGAUAAGGUCAUUAAGCUGCAUAGCUUAGUGAUGAAAGGAGACGCCUGCGGAGAGCCUUGCGUCCUAUUAGCUAGUUGGGGGGGUAACGGCCCACCAAGGCGAAGAUAGGUAGCCGGCCUGAGAGGGUGGACGGCCACAAGGGGAGUGAGAUGCGGCCGUUACUCCUACGGGGGGCAGCAGUGGGGAAUAUUGGACAAUGGGGGCAACUCUGAUCCAGCAAUUCUGUGUGGACGGAGACGGUUUUCGGAUUGUACAGUGCUUUCAGGAGGGGAGAAGGAAGUGACGGUACCUGGAGAAGAAGCGACGGCUAAAUACGUG